GAGUCGCUGACACGUGCCGUCUGCAAUCUCCAUCUACAGCAUCUGCAGCAGGGAAAGGCAAGCGUCAGCCACCCACAGCAGGCACAACAGGCUGUCAGGGGCCUCUGUCCCUCCUCCUCGUGGGAGCACAGCAUCUGGGAAGCCUGGAAACAGUGAAGCUUUAGUCUUUGAAGAACAAAUGGGAGACCUUGGACAACUCAGCCAAGUGCUUAGGAUAAAGUGGGAUGAACACAGCCCAUGGGCUCGCCGUAGCACUGAACGAAUACCAACAUUUGGGAUUAAGGUGACUUUCUGUGGCUGAGGUGGAACAAUGUGGUUGACUUUACAACCUUUUCAUCCUUGAAAGCUGAUUCUGUGUGCUCCGCGUGGAGGAUCUAAGCCUACUCCCCAAACAAACAGCAGCCAUUUAAGCAAUCUUCUGAGCUCACCGAGAUGCCGGUGCUCUGACAAGUUUCCCCGUGCUUCAGAUGUUGACCUCAGCUCCCCAGGUGUGUGUCACAAGUGUGUGGUUGACAGGAAAUUAAAGUCAAGCUAGCAUACAAA